rnacentral:rRNA from 1 species
CAGUCGCCGCGGGAACACGAAGGGGGCUAGCGUUGCUCGGAAUUACUGGGCGUAAAGGGAGCGUAGGCGGAUCGUUAAGUUGGGGGUGAAAGCCCGGGGCUCAACCUCGGAAUUGCCUUCAAUACUGGCGAUCUUGAGUAUGGAAGAGGUAUGUGGAACUCCGAGUGUAGAGGUGAAAUUCGUAGAUAUUCGGAAGAACACCAGUGGCGAAGGCGACAUACUGGUCCAUUACUGACGCUGAGGCUCGAAAGCGUGGGGAGCAAACAGGAUUAGAUACCCGGGUAGUCCCUGUCUCUUAUAC